rnacentral:rRNA from 1 species
GAUGAACGCUAGCGGCAGGCCUAACACAUGCAAGUCGAGGGGUAGAAGGAGCUUGCUCCUUUGAGACCGGCGCACGGGUGCGUAACGCGUAUGCAAUCUACCUUGUACAGGGGAAUAGCCCAGAGAAAUUUGGAUUAAUGCCCCAUAGUAUAUAACCUUCGCAUGUUGGUUAUAUUAAAGUUCCAACGGUACAAGAUGAGCAUGCGUCCCAUUAGUUAGUUGGUAAGGUAACGGCUUACCAAGACGAUGAUGGGUAGGGGUCCUGAGAGGGAGAUCCCCCACACUGGUACUGAGACACGGACCAGACUCCUACGGGAGGCAGCAGUGAGGAAUAGUGGUCAAUGGUCGCAAGACUGAACCAGCCAUGCCGCGUGCAGGAAGACGGUCCUAUGGAUUGUAAACUGCUUUUAUACAGGAAGAAACCCUCCCACGUGUGGGAGCUUGACGGUACUGUAGGAAUAAGGAGCGGCUAACUCCGUG